rnacentral:rRNA from 1 species
GACGAACCGUGCAAACGUUAUUCGGAAUCACUGGGCAUAAAGGGCGCGUAGGCGGCUUUCUAAGUCAGGGGUGAAAUCCGGCAGCUCAACUGUCGCAGUGCCUUUGAUACUGGAGAGCUCGAGGGAGGUAGGGGUCUGUGGAACUUCCGGUGGAGCGGUGUAAUGCGUUGAUAUCGGAAGGAACGCCGGUGGCGAAAGCGACGGACUGGAUCUCUUCUGACGCUGAGGCGCGAAAGCCAGGGGAGCAAACGGG